CUCUCUGCUGCCUGCGAGCAUGUCAUGCUGUCUGUAUUGCACGUGUAACCGGAAGUGAAGUAAUUUCCUCCACAAUAAAAGAAGAACCCUCUCCAGAAGAAACCUGCCGUCUGAAUUAGGAAACUAGCCUUUUUAAGAACACCAUGUUCAAGUGGCUGAUUAAGACACCUCCCUUCUCAGCAGCCCCCAUCUGCUUCUCAUCAAGUCUGAUAAUGUGGAGACGAGGAUGCCAAUUUUACAGCACACUGCUGAAUAAUUCACCUGCCUUUCUAAUGUUGAGACAUACCAAUAACAUGACUCGAACAGUGCCAUUAUCAUACAUUUUAACUCCGCGUUUUUUAAGCAUCAUCUUAUCUAUGACAUGGCAGGUCUGUGCACACAAGGUUCUCAUUUGGAAAUGCCUUUCCCCUCAAUAUCACAUUUUUUUAAUCAGUCUGCAGGAUUAAAAUGUUCAUCUCAUUCAUGCUACCACAACAUCUAUUUUUCUGUUACUGUGAUUAAUAGUGACCAGAAAUAAUGAAUCUUCAUCCGGAAAAACCCUAAUAACGGAUGACUGGCGGGAAAAAAAAGUUUUAAGAAUCUGAACUAAUGUCCUUCAGUGACAUCUAGUGCGAAAAAGAUAAACUGCAAUUUAAAAAAAUGUGGUAGUUAUGAUCCAUCAAAAUGUAUAGUAUCAACAAGCUUAAUGUCACUUUUAUUAAGAGUAGCCAAUUAAAUUAUUAAUUGACAAAAUAAAGUGUGUGUUGUUCAUUUUUCCACUAUAAUAAAGAGUUGGAGGUUGUUGCUGUAACGUGCAGUAAAAUACAAUAAAGACUUCUUUUAUUAGA